CUUGCGAGGUAUUGAUGCCUGCUGGAAAUUGAACAUGUUCCAUUGUAUGAUGGCAGUUCCACAAAAAGCUGAUGGCUAACCACUGUUGUCUCUUCUUAAUGUAUGUAUCAGAGAAGCCAUGCCAGGAUCAGUAUUAUGCAGAGAUCACCAUGAACUUCUAACCAGACAUAAUAUUCCAGUGAAGAAAGACAACUUUCUUAAACAUGUUGGCUGUACAGCUACAGAUACCAACAAGGCAGUUGAGGAAAAGGUAUUGCACUUUGCAAAUGAUCUUUUAUCAAAAGAUCCCACAGCUAAUGUAGGCUUAGCGGUUGUAGAGUAUCAAGGUGUUCCUUGACAAAGCCAGAGAUGUACUGUCUAACAACUUCGCUCCAGCAUUGCUAGCAUGGACCUCAAUGCUAAUGAUGUUUAGGUACUCUUGGACAAUGAAACAUAUCCGUCACUUCAAUCUACCAAUGUUGUUUGGGGUUCCCAGUGUUGGGAAAACGCUAGUGGCUACAUGUGGCGCUUGGCUAACUGGAUGCCAGGAGACACAAAUGUCUUCAAGGUAACUGGGCUAAUAUUUUGCAGAAGUUUAUAUUUCAUCAAUGUAUUGUCAGCUGCAUUUGUGCUAUAUGAACAACCACAGCUGCAAACCCAGGAUUAUAUAUAUAUGAUGAUAUUAAUCAUAUAAAAUAUAAUGAUAUUUAUCACAUUGUUGACGUCGCUGAGUGUAAUAAAACCAUUACUUAAAAUAAAUGAGUAUCAUUUAGGUAAAGUCAUUUUUUUAAAGGUAAGAUAAUUAGAUAUGUAACAUACCUUAAAAUACAUGUACUGUUGAAAAACAGCCUUAAAUACAAAACAAACAGACACUCAUGAAGGUACAUAGGGUGUUCACUCAGUGUAAUAUAUGUUGCACUAAUACAAACAAAUUUAUAUAUAUUAUUACGUUUUAUUAGUACUUGCAUCAGGUAAUAUGCAGAUAACAUGUCCUAAUGAACUUUUGUCUGUAAAGAGAAAUUAUUUUAUCCUGCCAAGAUGGUUACAACUUUUUUUAACAAUAGUCAUUUUUAAUCCUUUUGAAAUUUUCCUUCAGUAAUCACACAGUCUCCGUAACACAAAUAUCAAAACAUUCUUUUGAUAAAUGCGUGUGUAUAAAGUUAUACAAGUCAAGCUUAUAUUUUGUCAAAAGAUGUGACAGUCCCAUUUUAACACAAAUUGUUUUGAUUGGAUGUAGUCGGGCUUCUAAGAACUACAUACAUGUAAAUGAAUACUUUCGAACUUAACACACAUAGACAUCAUAAAAUAACCAUUCGUAACAAGGUAUCAUAUCUCUGACUUUUUCUGUUGUCAACUUUUGCAAAGCUUUUAUGUGUAUUAGACAAUUGUGUGAAAGUUGUUAGCAGACUGCAGCCCAUGAUUUACUAUAACAUUAUUUACUAACUUCAAAUACAUAGAAAAUAAUUGAUUUGCUCCAGAUGCACAUUACCCUUCUUCAUACAGAGGCUUAUAUCAGCAUCCAUGCCUUCAUCUGGGACGACCCUACCAAUCAAGAAGAAGUCGGACAACUGGCUGUUGAUCUUGGCAAUGGUGCAGUGAGAGGGAAACUGACUGAAAUGAAGUGCAAAACUGCACAUAUUAUGACUUAAACAUGGUAUACUCUGAUACUAUGAAGGCAUAACCUCCUGACUUGUAUAUUGUAUUAAUUGUUUAUAUGUAAAAGUCACACAUAUUGAAAUAAUGUUUUAGGCCUUAAUUGAAUAAGUAGUAAAAACUGACUGAUGCUCAGAAUAUUUCUUUCAUCUUAGUUUUAAGAACACAUUUUUAUAAACUAUUAACAAUUAUUAUGUUGGUAAGUAAAUGCUCAUAUGUCUGCCUGACUGCGCCAAAAAACUUAAUUACUGUACUGUUUGAUUUAAGUACAUUAAAAGAUUUAAUACAGGACUGGUGCUUUUUGGACAUAAAAAAGCGUUUGUAAUAUUUUCACUUGUUAGACAUAUUCAUGAUCACAAUUGUUGUUAUUUGGUACAAUAUAUUAAGUAUGUCUUAUACAGGUAUAGCAGCAGGCUCUGCAUCUUGAAGAUGAACCCAAAAGUUAGCCCUAAACAACCAGGGGUAGCCGGUGAAUUAGAGGCCCUAGCAGUGUCUGCGUCAGCUGCGUUGCCCAUUUUAUUACAGACUGUGUACACAAUGACACUAGGGGAGAUACACGCAACCACACGAACAUUAAUGGACACCGUGCCAUGUGACCUCCGUGUGGUGGAAGGUCUGUCAGUGCCACUGACAGCCGCGAAGAAGAUACUUGAGAGAGCAGGAAGAUCUGAAUUACUUCGGAUGUACAAGUGUACCUGGAGCAAGUUCUGUUCCCGUACAUCAGUGAUACCAUGCCUGGUAGUGACAGUGUGCCCAACUUUAUUAUAGAGAAGAUGUUAAACUAUGAGGACCAGAUCUUCCAGAACACUGACUUGAAAGGCGAUGAGAUCAGGGUCAUCAGGUAAUUCCUCGUGGAAGUCUGUGGAGUGUGCCAGGCUGAGAAAAGAAAGAUUUGAACAACCUUCUAAAGUCGUCAGAGUGAAGGGAUCUUUAGUUAGAGCCACUGUACUUGAUAUCAGUAGCUUGAGAGAGGACCUCAAAAACACAAUUACAACUUAUAUGUUAAACAUGUUAAAAGAAAAUUUAAAAUGAUUUAAUUAGUGUAUUUAAGAUAGAUAAGCACAGUGACCUAUCAAUCGGAUUAAGUAAACAUUUCUGCUGAGGAUAUACACCUGUAAUUUCAGAGAAAAAUGUUGAGAAUCCAGGAACACUGAAUAUCAUUUGCAUUUGUUGAUAUACAUAUAUAAUAACAAAUGCAUAUGAAAAAGGCUUGCAAAUUGAUACCUUAUAGAUUUGAAUGCCUGUUGUUUCUGUCUAUGUACAUGUAUUCAGACCCCAGAGUUACAAAUUCAGAGAAGGGUAUUUAGACGGCGUAUGCCAACUUCACGAUCUAACCUUAGACAGACACGCAGCAGAAGCAGGAGAAAUUAGUGUGCGUUUUAUGUUACAACAAAAAUUAAGACAAAUAUAAGAUAUGAUUCGAUGAAAUGAUUGACAAUAGUAAUCUGGCCAGCGGAAUAACAGUGUGAGAAAAACCAAAAUGACUAGGAAAAUUUUGACUUAAAAGUUUACUUGCUGUUGUUGUAGAACUUAUAAAUUUAUCAUAAUACAGAACAGAGUGAAAAAAUAACAUAUCUGCAUUUGUAUCUGACAUGGACUCAUGGGUAAUUCUUAUCAGUACUGUGCCGUUUCCUUGUUUCUUCAUUUUUUAGCUCCACUACUUGGAGAAUAGGGGUGCCCAGCAGUGAUGUUGAAGUGAGCUGUCUGGGUUAAUGUUUUUUGGCAACCUUUGUUUUGCUAAGUUACAAUUGCUUAUAUCUUACAGAGUUUUCAUGUUAACAUUGUUCAGCAUGUGAAAAAAUGUGCAGGGGCUGGACCCCAUUACCUCUUAGGUCAAGGUAACCAAGGUGUUAUAUUUUGGUUUUUUUUAAGAUUACCUUUGUUUUUCUGUUUUAUCUUUUUUACUAUUGCCUAAAUCUUACUGUAACUUCACAUAAAAAUUGUAAAGCAUACAAAGAAAGUAUGUGCUUGUCAAGAUUACUAAGGUGUUAUACUUUGGUCAUUUUUAACGUUUUUGGCAAUGUUUAUCUGUCUUAUCUUUGUUACUAUUGCUUAUAUCUUUCUGUCAUUUCACAUAAACAUUGUCCAGCAUACACAGUAUGUGCAGUAGCUAUGCCAUUAUACCCGAGGUAAAGGUCACCAAGUUGUUUGGAAUUAUUUUCAUUUUGAAUUUUUUUCAAAAGCUAUGUUUCUAGACAAAGUUGGUACUUUAAAAGAUUAUGACUUGAAAUUGGAAAUAUUUCUUUAAAAUCAUCAUUUGCAUUAUUCCCCUUUCAUAUUUUUUUUUUUGGUAAUCUUUGCCUUCUGAAAAUAACUUGAGUAUGGUAUCAGAUAAUGACUUGAGACUUAAAAUAUGCUUCUAUCAUUAUCUUCUGCAAUUGCAAUUACUCUGAAUUUGUAAGUUUGACCAAAUUAUGUCCCUUUCAUACUUAAUUGUUUUGACAAGCUUCGUUUUUUUUCUGGACAUAACUUUGGUACUAUACAAGAUAAUGACUUCAAAAUACAUCUUUGUUAUCAUCAACAGACUUUGUGUUUUGCACCUAACUUUGGUAUAGGUCUCUUAUUGAGACAGACUCAUUUAUUGUCGAAUUAACAAAUAGUGGAGUGUACUGUAUUACGCACAGCUUUUGUUCAAAUUAGUUAAUUAUAAAAAAUUCUUAUCAAUUUAUAUUUAACCCGCCCACUUAUCUCAGUAGGUAGAGCGUCGGUCUACGGAUCGCGGGGUCGUGAGUUCGAUCCCUGGGCGGGCCGUAUGUUCUCCGUGACUAUUUGAUAAACGACAUUGUGUCUGCAAUAAUUAGUCCUCCACCUCUGAUAAUUCAUGUGGGGCAGUUGGCAGUUACUUGCGGAGAACAGGUUAGUACUGGUACAGAAUCCAGGAACACUGGUUAGGUUAAUUGCCCGCCGUUACAUGACUGAAAUACUGUUGAACAACGGCGUUAAACCCAGCAAAAAAAAAAAAAAAAAAAAAACAUUUUAUAUUUGUUACUGUAAUUUUAAGUAUUUCUAUAUUUUUUGUUUCAUAUAAGUUAAUUGAACAAUUUGACAUAUUUAUUGCUGUUUAAGAUUGUUAGAGUACUUUUUUGAAAAGAGCCCAUUUUUUUUUUUAAAUUGGCAAAAUAACAGUCUCUCACUAGGUUCACCAAAGUUAAGGUUCUGUAAAUAAAAAUGUAUAAAAAUGUCCACUGUUGUUUCGAAGAACCCUGAAUUUGAACCACACACGGUCUUCUAUGCACACAAGCUUCCCCAUUUGUUUUUACCUGCAAUAGAUUUAUCUUGUUUCCGGAUAUGUAAUAUUUGUUUAAGUUUUAUCUUUGCUGUAAUUUUUUGAUGUUCAUAUGCUAAUAUAAUAGA